UUCGGCGUGGUGUAACGGCUAGCAUACCUUGCUUUCAUGUCGCUGUAUUUCGCGAUCCGAGGAGGUCGGGGUUCGAUUCCCAGCGUCGCAG